rnacentral:rRNA from 1 species
AUUGAACGCUGGCGGAAUGCUUUACACAUGCAAGUCGAACGGCAGCACGGGGGCAACCCUGGUGGCGAGUGGCGAACGGGUGAGUAAUACAUCGGAACGUGCCCAGUCGUGGGGGAUAACGUAGCGAAAGUUACGCUAAUACCGCAUACGAUCUAUGGAUGAAAGCGGGGGACCGUAAGGCCUCGCGCGAUUGGAGCGGCCGAUGUCAGAUUAGGUAGUUGGUGGGGUAAAGGCCCACCAAGCCGACGAUCUGUAGCUGGUCUGAGAGGACGACCAGCCACACUGGGACUGAGACACGGCCCAGACUCCUACGGGAGGCAGCAGUGGGGAAUUUUGGACAAUGGGCGCAAGCCUGAUCCAGCCAUUCCGCGUGCAGGACGAAGGCCUUCGGGUUGUAAACUGCUUUUGUACGGAACGAAAAGGUCCUGGUUAUUACCCGGGGCUCAUGACGGUACCGUAAGAAUAAGCACCGGCUAACUACGUGCCAGCAGCCGCGGUAAGAC